rnacentral:lncRNA from 1 species
CUCCCUUUGUAAAACUCUUCACAAUAAAAGGUAGAUUUAGUGUCAAUAACAGAAGGAGGGAAAUCAACAAAUGUGCAGAAGGAUAGGAAAUAAUGAUAUUUUUGAUGAAUAUGGUGUAGCCAAAAACUUGAUUUUUAUUGAAAGAGUGUAACAAAGACAUAGCAAACCAUGUGGCAAAGACAUUCCCACUUCCACUGGGAUAAGUCUGAUCCUGAUCAGAUAGUCUAGACAUGACUCAUGAGUCUAGACUAUCACUAUCAUGUCUAGGUUUCAGACUCACAUUUUAAAAUGCAUAUCCUGCAAACAUGGACAGGAGUUGGAUUGCAGUAGACAAGAAGACAAAAUGAGUUGCUGCCAUCCUUUCAUGACCCUUCCAAAUCUAGCAACGGAAAUUUCAAAGCAAAACUUUCAGUUUCAGUUGGUUCUGGUAAGUUUGUUAUUUUUUUUUGUGGUUAGAAAAAGCAAUUUGACACCAUAAAAAGACCUACUGUAGAAACAUCACAUCUGAUUCAAAACAUAAAUAUCGGAAAAAGAGCAUAGACCAUUUCUCUUUGGGGAAAAAAAGGGGGGGGGUAUUUACAUAAUUUUCUUGAAGCAAACACUGAUUUAAUUUUCAUUGACAUACAUUUAUAAUGAUUUAAAAUUCUUCUGAAACUAAAAGAUUUAUGUGUUUGCCUUCUAAAUUUUAAUAGAAAAACUUUUUUCUCUCUCAGUCUCUCAAGAAUCAUGAUAAAAUAUAUAUUCUAUUACAAAGCCCUCCGUUAUCAGGUCUGUUCGCCCUGAGUUUGUUUGACAAAUUGUCAAUAACGGGUAGAGUCCAUUGACUCUGUUUUUUUUUUCUCCUAAAUAGAUAUAGGAAGAUGUGGUAUGAGUGCGAAUGAGACAACUAUCCAUCCAAAUAACAAUUUAUUAAAGUAAACCAUUAUAGGUCAAUGUACGGCCUUCAACACAGAGCCUUGGCUCACACGGAACAACAAGCUAUAAACAUGAUAAAGGACCCCUAAAUUACUAGUGUAAAAACCUUCGAACAGGAAAAUCAAUGGUCUAAUUUAUAUAUAAAAAAAAGGAGAAAUGAGAAACACGUAUAAAUUACAUAAACAUACGAAAACUACUGUACAUUUAUGCCAACUAAAAAGUAUGUGUGUUAACCGCACUACCCUUACCUACCUUUAUUUUUAUCCCUACCCUAAAGAUUUUUGUGACAGGUUUUGAUUAAGCACUGUUAAAGUCACAAAUAUAGCUCCCAAAGAGUUGUGAAUUUCCUGUCUUUAUUCAUUCCUUUACCAGUACUACAUGUACAUUGUACAAUGCAGCUAGAUUGAUACAAUAUAUGGUUCUCAAAUCUCAAAAAAAUGUUUUACAGAUUAUGAGCUGUUUUUUUUUCUCUCUAAAAAUUGGUUACUGUGAGACUUUUUCUUUACAUUUCCUUAGUGCAGGUCAUGUAUCACAGUUAUAAACAUGGAAAGAGAACUUGUACAUGUCUUUACUUCUAUCGUUAAUAAAAAUAGAAUCUGAAUAGAAUAUGCUUACAAAUGUAUUCCAAAUUAAAGGGCCCAGAAGGGGCAACAUGAGAUUAUAACAUUACAGAUUACUCAGAUAAAACAAAUUCAAAAUAACAAUACUGAAGAAAUGAAUUACUUGAUGAUGUGAUUGAUAUCAUAGCAUUUAUGACAUUUACACAAAUUAAUUAUCAUAUCUACAAAACUUUUUUUUUCAAUGAACCAAUGCAUUAUGUUAAGCCAACUUAAUGUACAAUGUACAUGUAGAUGUAACUCACUGUACUGAUCAUGCAAAUGUACAAAUAUACAAUAUUUUAUUUCUUAUCAACAGGUUAAUGUUGAAGAUGGAAAAGCACAAAAAUAAUGUUAAAAUGAAAGCAGAUAUGAUAGGAGAUCACAUAG